AAUCCUUUGGACAAGCAGCUUUGCAUUCACCCUUGGGUUCACGUUGUGUUUAAACUAUACAUAGAAGUCUGGUUUUAUAACCUGGAGAGAUGCUGAGCCUGAAGUAUGAGAGUCUUUAACACCAGAUUUUGCUGAAGUUCAUAACUAGAUGCCUGCUGUUCCCAAGGACUGUUACGUUCAGGAGCUACUAAGAAAUGGAAGAAAAAGCAUUUAUUGAGUCCCUGUUUGUAUGCUAGGCACUGUGGAAGGACUGAUGUCAGGAAAAUGGUGCUGGUACAGAUGGAAGUUGGUAACCUUUCUGGGCAGCCAGUUGGCAGAAUAAUUACAAAUUCUUUUGAAAACUUGCAUAACUUUUUGCUCCAAGGAACAGAACUGAACAAGUGUUCAAAGAUGAAGAAACCAAGGAACAGAGAAAUAAAGUAACUUGUCUAAGGCCUUAAAUUCAGAGGUGGCAGAGUAAGAAUUUGUAUCCAGGCAUUUGAUCCAGAGCCUACAUUCUGAAACCCUCGACCUGACUGUAAAAACUGUCUUCAGGUUUUACAUGGGAUAACCAU